GCCCUUAUAGCUCAGUGGUAGAGCGCAGCACUCGUAUUUCAUGCUGAGGUCCGCGGUUCAAUCCCGCGUGGGGGCA